UGCCUUCAGACCGGUGGAGCACAGACUCUGAAGCUGACUGGACUCAUUUUGGAGCUUUCAAAUAAUCUGGAGAGGACCUUCAAUUUCAGGAAAGGACUUCCUUCCUGUUGGAUUAGUUUGGCUUUAGUUUGUUUAGAUUUUGAGUGGCAGCAUCUUGGACUAUAAGGUUCUAAAACUUGGACAUUCUCUGUCCUGUUGGACUUUUGCCCUUUUAUAUUCACUGCUAUACUGGCAUUGUAUCCCCUUGUUAAUGCUGACGUUGAUGGGCGAUCCUCAGAAAAGUGGAGGUGAAGUGGUAACCAUGUGGAUCCCGACCCCCAGCAUGACUCUCCCUCAGCGGGUGGUGCUGUAUGGGACGUGUGUGGUGGCGUUGAUGAACUCUGUGGGCUUCCUGGUGCUCUUGGUCCAGCAGAAUCAGCAACGCGUCUUGCUAGAGCAGACAGGCUUAAAGCUGACAGGAGGUGGAGCAGAGCUCGCUGGUGGAGUUCCUCCAGGAGGUGCCGAGAGGAGCGGCGGGGAUGCGGGCGAGCGCGGGGGAACAUCCGCAAUACCAGUACUCCAGGAAUAAGAGAAGCGAAGAGCUGGAGAAGAAUCUAAAGCAGGAGAUGCAGGAGCUUCACCAGGAGGAGGGACAGGAGGUCAGCCAGGAGGUCAGCCAGGAGGUGGGAGAGGAAGCAGAGAAGAAGAUGAAGAAUGAGAUGAAGCACAAGCACCGACACGGCCAGAGUUACCACAAGGCACACUUUCAGGAUGACAUGAUGAUGAUGAUGACGUACUCCAUGGUCCCGAUCAAAUUGUUGAUCGACAUUUGCAACAGCACCAAGGGAGUCUGCAUCGCCGGACCACCAGGACCGCCUGGUUUGCCCGGUGUGGAUGGUAUGCCCGGCCACAAUGGGAC
rnacentral:lncRNA from 1 species